GAUGAACGCUGGCGGCGUGCCUAACACAUGCAAGUCGAGCGAACAGACGAGGAGCUUUCUCCUCUGACGUUAGCGGCGGACGGGUGAGUAAUACGUGGAUAACCUACCUAUAAGACUGGGAUAACUACGGGAAACCGGAGCUAAUACCGGAUAAUAUAUUGAACCGCAUGGUUCAAUAGUGAAAGACGGUUUUGCUGUCACUUAUAGAUGGAUCCGCGCCGCAUUAGCUAGUUGGUAAGGUAACGGCUUACCAAGGCAACGAUGCGUAGCCGACCUGAGAGGGUGAUCGGCCACACUGGAACUGAGACACGGUCCAGACUCCUACGGGAGGCAGCAGUAGGGAAUCUUCCGCAAUGGGCGAAAGCCUGACGGAGCAACGCCGCGUGAGUGAUGAAGGUCUUCGGAUCGUAAAGCACUGUUAUUAGGGAAGAACAAAUGUGUAAGUAUCUAUGCACGUCUUGACGGUACCUAAUCAGAAAGCCACGGCUAACUACGUG
rnacentral:rRNA from 1 species